rnacentral:rRNA from 1 species
GAUUAUGGCUCAGGAUGAACGCUAGCGGCAGGCUUAACACAUGCAAGUCGAGGGGCAGCGGGAUGUAGCAAUACAUUGCCGGCGACCGGCGGAUGGGUGCGUAACGCGUAUGCAACCUACCUAUACAGGGGAAUAACCUUUCGAAAGGGAGACUAACACCCCAUGGUAUUGAUUUAAGGCAUCUUAGAUUAAUUAAAUAUUUAUAGGUAUAAGAUGGGCAUGCGUAUGAUUAGCUAGUUGGUAAGGUAACGGCUUACCAAGGCGACGAUCAUUAGGGGUUCUGAGAGGAAGGUCCCCCACACUGGUACUGAGACACGGACCAGACUCCUACGGGAGGCAGCAGUGAGGAAUAUUGGUCAAUGGGCGCAAGCCUGAACCAGCCAUGCCGCGUGCAAGGAAGACGGCCUUAUGGGUUGUAAACUGCUUUUACAUAAGACUAACCGUAUAUUUGCGAAUGUACCUGAAUGUAUUAUGAGAAUAAGGAUCGGCUAACUCCGUGCCAGCCGCGGC